UUGAGGGCGUCGCGUCGCACGGAGGGCGAAAAAUAGGAGACAAGCGCGACGCCGAUAACGCACGACCACUAUCAAAGUGACGAUGGUGGGGGAAGUUUUGCGGGUUCGGUUACUUCCAAGUUAGUGAGCAUCGAGCUCUCCUGGUGAACGGUUGAAUUUGCGACGCUCUUGCGGAGAAACUCCAUAACCACGUGCGUCACGUGCUGUUUGUAAUUGGUCGUGAGUUUUUUCCUCAAUUUGUUUACGGAAGUUGGAAAGUGUCAAUUUGUUCGUGAUUUAUUAUAAAAAAAGAAAUAACCGCGAAUAACCCUAGCUGUUUUAUACAACGCGUAUAAAAUAACAAAAAAAAAAAUACACCCGGUGUGUAAUUUUAACUGUUAAGUAAUCGUCACGUGUUAAGUAAACAUAUUUUACUCGAUGAGUUGUUCCCAUAAACCAAACACAUCUCCACGUAUCUCGCUCUGUGACGUUUUGCAAUCUGUACAGACGUGAAAUAUAUCUAAUAUCUACAACUGAAGAGAUUCGAUAUAAUUGUCGGCAGUUUCCGAUCACGUGAUCCUAUAUUUUGAAAGGAAAGAAACUAAAGGGAAUGUUCAAAUUCCUUUCGAUUUCGUUUGAAAAGAAGAAAUAAAAUCGCUCCACGAAAACCGCGGUUUUAGAUUCCCGGAUCACAUGUGUAAACAUUUUUGAAUAAAGAAUUCAAAAAACGAGAAGAAUAAUAUAAACUGACGAGGAACGAAUCGGAAACCAAGGAACGGAGUACGAUAUGACGAAUAUCAUUUCACGAUUCAUAUAAUAUUCAUUGCAGUUUACGGUGUCGGAAUAAAUUCUUUUUUUUUUUCCUCUCAGAACGCGUUAUCACGUGCCGCAGUGCUCGAUCGUGAAAGUUAUCAUUUUAAAAACGUGAAAAAAAUAAGUAAGAAAAAAAUAUUCGCGCGUAUAUUCGUACGAAAAUUUAAACGCGAGUCGCACGGAGAAUAUAAAUACAAUAUUUAUCUACAUAGGUAACUCGAAAAGUAAGUCAAAGUAAAAGAAAAUCAUCGUCAUCUUCUGCUUCUUGUUCUUCUUCUUGCGGUUGGAAAUAGCGUUUCGAAAAUAGUGUCGUUGCUAAAUUCUAAUUCCGACAGUCAACCGUGUAUCUUACAUAAGACGAUAGCGAGGCCGAAAUCAUCCGAACGAGAAGCUGCUGCUGCUGCUGCUGCUGCUGCCGCUACUACUAAACCGAACUGUAUAUACAUAUGUACGAGAAAUCUUCGUCGCACCUUGAAAAAUUCGACAGCAAAUUUACCAGGCGCUUAUCGAAUACACCUUUAUACGGAGCGCAACGUUCUCGAUUUUUCCAAUGAAACGAUUCGACGUGGGAAAUUUGAACGGGUGCGAUGUCGUGCUUUGGGGUGUGUUAAAAAUAAUAUUUAACCAAUUGAACGUCUAUGUGCAUAUACGCGUACGCAUUGUAAGUACAUAAGAAAAUAAAAAAUAAUAAACAUGUUUUUCCGAGUCGAAAAGUAAUCGCAUUGAAAAUAACUCGACGGCACCGUGGAGAGAACCGCCUUGCGAAUAUCCACCUUGCGGAUCAUCGGCCGCGAGCUAUAAUAGCUCGGCUAUUACACCAGAUGAUUGAAUUUUCUUUCCUCCGUUCGCUUAUUCCUUUUUUCCGAUUUUGUAACGUUUAACACAGAGCAUUCCGGAACGGAUCGGAUCGAGUCCACGUACGCGUGUAUUGUGUAAAUUUUUUAUCGAGUAUACAUAAUUUUUUUUUUUUUCUUUUUCUUUUUCUCACCGCUUAUCGCGGAUACGCCGCGGAAUGGUAUUUGAACGCAUAAUUUUUAUUUUAUCAUCGAUCUCCCCGUCAACAUUGUUACAGAUGGUCGCCACCCGCGUAUAUUAUAAUAUCUCAGACUUUAUGGAAAACAGGCAACGUAGAUCUUGGGCAAAUAUAAUGCCGAACAGAACCGCAUCGGUAAACAUUAAUCGUUUAUAAGUGACGCUGAAAUUUCUCAUCGCGAGUUAGUCGGUGCCUCGUUUUCGAACGGUUAGGAGGUUGUUUGAAAAAAGUGCUCGUCGACAAUAUCGAUACUUAUGGUACAAGUGAGCGUGUUUUCGGAAUUAACAGCGUAACACAAAUGAGUGAAGUUCUUUAUAAAAUUAACAACCAAAGUUAUAACAGUAUUUGAGAGAGGAGAAAAAAAAAAAAAACACACACACACAAAAUCAAAAAAAGAAAGAAAAAAAAAAGAAGCAAUUAACACGAUGUAAAUAAUUAUGUUAAAUUGUUACUUUACAAAAAUGGAGGAACCUUGCGGUAAUAGACGACUACUUCAGCGGCCUCACAAGGCAAAACUCUCCAGCUACGCGACGCCGGUAAGGAUCUAAGCUGUUAGAAACCGCAAGAUAAAACGAGAAGUUGAGGAUUAUCUUGUACCUACAACUUGGAGGUAAUCCAUAAAGUGAUAUACCAAAAACGAGAUUCGGAAGGGAAAGAAAAAAAAAAAACUGAACGACUUCGAAGAAACAAGGCUGACCAAGUGCAUUUCCAGGUGCAUUCCAAAGUUCGUUAAUCAUUAAAUAAUAGCAGAGUGAUAUUAAAGUUAUAUAAUUUUAAAUACUUUUACUGUAAAACGUUUGCGCUAAG